rnacentral:tRNA from 1 species
GGGGGUGUAGCUCAGCUGGUUAGAGCGCCUGCCUGUCACGCAGGAGGUCGCGAGUUCGAGCCUCGUCACUCCCGCCA